CAUUAUGAUACAUUUGAAUUAAAAAAAAAAUUUAAAAAAAAUUCCAAUUUUUAAAAAUUGUAUAUACAAACACAAAGGUUAGAAAACUGCAAGGGAAAUUUCGUUACAGACUGUUAGAGCUAUGUUUUGGUUUACAAAGCUUUGUUUUGUGUUAGGUGUACAUUUCCUUUCUGAAUUGUCUAGUUGGAGGAAACUGUUAGAAAAUGAUUAUUUUGUCUUUAUCGAAAGCACUCUUGAAAUUAGACCUCAGUUUUUUUGGAAACCUUGAUGUCUAGAAUUGAGGAAAUUUCCCAUUUAAAAACUCUUAAAGCUGGUCUACCUGGGUACAAAUCCCAUUUCUGCAACUAAUUAAUUGUAUGACUUGGGACAAGUGCAUAAUUCUCUGUGGCUCAAUUUCUUCAUCUAUAAAAUAGGGAUAAUUCUAAUGACUAGAAAGUACCAGGUUGACAGAAUAUGCUGAUGACUUUGUUAAGGAGUGUGUGUGUGUGUGUGUGUGUGUGUGUGUGUGUGUGUGAGAGAGAGAGAGAGAGAGAGAGGGAGAGAGAGAGAGAGAGAGAGAGAGAAAACACUAGCAAAGGAAAUUGAAAAGGGUCAGCCUACAUGGUAGGAGGAAACCAGGAAAGUGUCUUUAGAAACCAAACUAGUUUGUGAUUAACUGAAUUAAAUUCCGCUGUCUAGUAUAUUAAGUAAGAUUUACAGCUACUGUUGGAUUUAGCCAUUCAGCAGUGAUUGGUGACUUUGAGGGGAGCAGAUUUGGUGGAGGAGUGGACAAAAGCUUGAUUGGAAUGGUUUCAAGAGAGAAUGGAAGGAGAGAAAUAGGAGCAAGAAGUAUAGACAUUAAAAAAAUAUAGUUUUACAUUCAAAGUGAUAAACAGUAUGUAAUGUCUUUGAAAUAAUAGGUGACGUUUAUUGAGCACUUACUGUGUGACAGACACUGUUUUAGGCACUUGUAUUAACUUGUUUAAUGAGGAAUAAGAAAUACAGCUGGUCCUUGGUUUGCAUGAUAGUGUAAGACCACAUGCACUAAAGCCAUGGAAAGCAAUCUUGAAAAUCAGUGAGAAAGAUUAAGAUGUGACCUUCAACAUUUUCGUCAAAACAUUCUGUAUUUUUUUUUUUUUUUUUUUUUUGCGGUACGCGGCCCUCUCACUGUCGUGGUCUCUCCCGUUGCGGAGCACAGGCUCCGGACGCGCAGGCUCAGCGGCCAUGGCUCACGGGCCCAGCCGCUCCGCGGCAUGUGGGAUCUUCCCGGACCGGGGCACGAACCCGUGUCCCCUGCAUCGGCAGGCGGACUCUCAACCACUGCGCCACCAGGGAAGCCCCAAACAUUCUCUAUUUUGACUAGCUCUGUUGUUUAUUAAUGUAUUGGGAAGUGAAAAAAGUUAGUAAAACUAAUAUUUAUAGCACAUUGUAAUUUAAAACAUUAAAAACAUGAAAGACAAAAGUGUUUGUUUCACUGUAACAUACCAAGAUUAGUUUGAACAGCGCUUGCCUUCUCAUCUGUGUUUGUACAUCAGCUUCCAACAUUUUAGCUUUUCCUCUUUCAGUGUUGUGAAAUAUUUCCGAGAGUCGAUUUAAUGUGACGUUUUUGCGGGUAUUACUCCCUCUGGGAUGUCUCCUCCUUUUCAUCAUAACCACUUCCUCAUUUAUGUUUAUAAAUCCUCCUUCUCUAAGUCCCUCAGGCUGCAUAUCUGCCCCUCUGUGGGUCUGGGUCCGAGUGUGCCCUGCCUGAGCCUUCUAUUGCUAAUAUGCCAAAGUUAAAAAAAAAAAAAGGAUACUGAGACCAGGAGGGAGAAGUCAGUGGAGACAGGAGUACAGUGGGCAACCGACACCCCUUCACUGGGGAGGAUGAGCAGGACAGACAGAGACACCCGGCCCUCCCAGAACAGGGUGAAGCUGACAAGCUCAGUCUCUGUUGGUGAAACUGCUGGAUCCAGUGGUGCUGCAGGACAUGAUUUCA